CCAAGGUGCAGCACUGAUGUCACUCCACAGAGACAGUGGCUUCUUUGUGCUAUAUACGGUGCAUGGGGCCUCCUCCUCAAGAGGUCACUGGUGAAAGAGUGGAAUUGGCAUGAGGCUUGAAGCCAGUGUGCCCCAUAGCCUGGCAGGCACUCCUCUACAUUCUCUCCACAAGCAGAAGCUAUUCCAGAGCACCAGGCUGCAGGGCUGAGAAAUGUUGGAGCUUGGACAGGGGACAAAAGAAGCGAGGACUCACUCCACCAUGGCCGUUCCCCCAAGAAGACAGUUCAGUCUUUAUCUCUCUAAUGCUCUCAGAAGUUUUUUUCUGAGGUUCACUCAUGUCAUUUCACUGAUUUGAAACACAGGCAAAAUGUGCUGGUGCCAGAUUUUCAGUGGGGACCUACUGCUGUGGCAGGUUCUGAUCUAACUCUGAACUAAUGUUGACCUUUCACCCUUACAAUGCAGCCAUCUGCUAUCUCCAAGAGUAAACAAAACCUCCAA